rnacentral:lncRNA from 1 species
GCUAUGUUUGGUUUAAUUCCAUUUAGUGGUUCUCUAGAAGAAGUCAUUUGUAUGCAUUUCCCAUAGGGUCCUAUGUUAAACUAAGUCCCCCGCUGGCCGCCAUCUUGGAUGAUGGAUCGGCUACAAAGUAACAACACUUGGUCAGCACCUCAUAAGGAACAUUCAUGCAAUGUUUGGUUUUAUUCCAUUCAGUGGUUCUCUAAAAGAAGUCAUUUGUAUGCAUUUCCCAUAGGGUCCUAUGUUAAACUAAGUCCCCCGCUGGCGGCAAUCUUGGAUAAUGGAUCGGCUACAAAGUAACAACACUUGGUCAGCACCACAUUAGGAACAUUCAUGCCAUGUUUGAUUUCAUUCCAUUCAGUGGUUCUCUAAAAGAAGUCAUUUGUAUGCAUUUCCCAUAGGGUCCUAUGUUAAACUAAGUCCCCGCUGGUGGCCAUCUUGGAUGAUGGAUCGGCUACAAAGUAACAACACUUGGUCAGCACCACAUAAGGAACAUUCAUGCCAUGUUUGGUUUCAUUCCAUUCAGUGGUUCACUAGAAGAAGUCAUUUGUAUGCAUUUCCAAUAGGGUCCUAUGUUAAACUAAGUCCCCGCUGGCGGCCAUCUUGGAUAAUGGAUCGGCUACAAAGUAACAACAAUUGGUCAGCACUCCAUAAGGAACAUUCAUGCAAUGUUUGGUUUCAUUCCAUUUAGUGGUUCUCUAGAAGAAGUCAUUUGUAUGCAUUUCCCAUAGGGUCCUAUGUUAAACUAAGUCCCCCGCUGGCGGCCAUCUUGGAUGAUGGAUCGGCUACAAAGUAACAACACUUGGUCAGCACCCAUAAGGAACAUUCAUGCUAUGUUUGGUUUUAUUCCAUUCAGUGGUUCUCUAAAAGAAGUCAUUUGUAUGCAUUUCCCAUAGGGUCCUAUGUUAAACUAAGUCCCCGGCUGGCGGCCAUCUUGGAUGAUGGAUCGGCAACAAAGUAACAACACUUGGUCAGCACCUCAUAAGGAACAUUCAUGCCAUGUUUGGUUUCAUUCCAUUCAGUGGUUCUCUAAAAGAAGUCAUUUGUAUGCAUUUC